UACGAAGGGGGCUAGCGUUGCUCGGAAUCACUGGGCGUAAAGGGUGCGUAGGCGGGUCUUUAAGUCAGGGGUGAAAUCCUGGAGCCUCAACUCCAGAACUGCCUUUGAUACUGAAGAUCUUGAGUUCGGGAGAGGUGAGUGGAACUGCGAGUGUAGAGGUGAAAUUCGUAGAUAUUCGCAAGAACACCAGUGGCGAAGGCGGCUCACUGGCCCGAUACUGACGCUGAGGCACGAAAGCGUGGGGAGCAAACGGG
rnacentral:rRNA from 1 species